UGAACUGACGUUUCAUUGUGUUUGAAAUUUUCACGCUUCAAACAAGUCGCUCUGUUUCUGCUGCUACUUUUUCAUUUAUAAUCAGUUAAUUUGCCAAUAAACGCAGAAAAUUUGGUGAAAAUGUGAAAAAAAAGCUUGCUGCUCUUCCCGCUGGCCCUGCGGAAGGCUAAUUUGGCUGAGAUUUUACAAGUUAGCCAUCUCCUAGUGGACUGAAUCAACUGGAACCGGCCCUCAAUGUUCUCCGCCGUGAAAUCAUUUUGUUUCUUCGAAACAGGUUCAUCAAUCAACUCGGGAGUGCGAGAGCUCGAGCCUCGUUGCCGAGCCAUGGAUGGCGCCGCGAAAGUUCUAAAUUCUUGAAUGUUCCGCCCUGAAGGAUGCCCAACACAGGAAAAGAAAAUAAUUUGGAAAUAAAUAAUGCUGUGUGGAAACGC
rnacentral:lncRNA from 1 species